UGGAACAGGACGUCAUAGAGGGUGAGAAUCCCGUUUGGCGAGGAUACCUUUUCUCUGUAAGACUUUUUCGAAGAGUCGAGUUGUUUGGGAAUGCAGCUCAAAGUGGGUGGUAAAUUCCAUCUAAAGCUAAAUAUUGGCGAGAGACCGAUAGCGAACAAGUACAGUGAUGGAAAGAUGAAAAGAACUUUGAAAAGAGAGUGAAAAAGUACGUGAAAUUGUUGAAAGGGAAGGGCAUUUGAUCAGACAUGGUGUUUUUUGCAUGCACUCGCCUCUCGUGGGCUUGGGCCUCUCAAAAAUUUCACUGGGCCAACAUCAAUUCUGGCAGCAGGAUAAAUCAUUAAGAAUGUAGCUACUUCGGUAGUGUUAUAGCUUUUUGGAAUACUGUUAGCCGGGAUUGAGGACUGCGCUUCGGCAAGGAUGUUGGCAUAAUGGUUAAAUGCCGCC
rnacentral:rRNA from 1 species